ACGCCUGCCAAAAAGGUACUGAUGGUGAUACAACAUGUACGUGGCAGUGUGCAUACUAUCAAAAUUAUUUUGGUGUAGGUGUUUGUGGCUCAGAUUCAUUUUGUUAUUGCAAACUCAAAGUUAAUGUCAAUCCUGAUAUUAGACAAGAAAUGGUUGUUGCUCUAUGUACUAUAGACAACAAUCGUGACUACGUAUGUAAUUCGAAGUGUUUGACUAUUCCCAUUUUUAAGUCCGGUUAUUGUGGAACAGAUUUUAAGUGCUAUUGCCUUAGGAAAUAAAA